ACGACCGGCGCACGGGUGAGUAACGCGUAUGCAACCUACCUACUACAGGGGGAUAGCCCGAAGAAAUUCGGAUUAACACCGCAUAAUACUAUUUUUUCGCAUGGAAUGAUAGUUAAAAAUUAUUGGUAGUAGAUGGGCAUGCGUUCCAUUAGCCAGUUGGUGAGGUAACGGCUCACCAAAGCAACGAUGGAUAGGGGAACUGAGAGGUUUAUCCCCCACACUGGUACUGAGACACGGACCAG
rnacentral:rRNA from 1 species